rnacentral:lncRNA from 1 species
GUAUCAGUAUGUAUGGUCGGAUUAUGUUUCUGUGUGAAAGAGAGAGUUGUUCCCCUUUUGCCAGUAUCUUGUAUUUAUGUUUGUGACGUCAUUCUUUGUCUGAUUAAAAUGUAGAAAUGGAAGCUGAUGUGUUUUUAUGUGUCCGUAUAUAAUCGCCUCCAUCCAUGCUACCAGAGAUAUUCCCCUAGUCUGUAAUAUUUAAGU